rnacentral:lncRNA from 1 species
GCAAAAGUUUCAUGGAAAGUUCUUAAAGCUUUAGGAUGUUAAAGGAUUGUAGUAGAUCAAGACAUGGAAGUUUGGUUGAAUAGGUUAGGUUGUUUGAAAUGUGACUUGCUUAAUGUUUGGGACUUUCGAAGGACAUGAUUUAUAAUACCGAUGUAAGCUAAUUUCUUUGGCCCGAACACAUUUUCACUACUACUUUCAUAUCAUUGUAAAACACUUGUUAUGUUGCUAAUAAUGCCACAUCUUUCAGUUAUGUCAUGGCAUCACUGAACUAGGGGCAUUUUUUGAACAAUUGAAAAGAGAGCUUCAAGCGUUGGAAGCGGCAAAUGUGCAUGUAAUUUUGGAGAACAAGCAUUAGUUAGUGAGGUAACUUUGGAUUUUAAGCAUUAACAUCCAGGUGUUUACCGUGUUUUGUGUUCUUCUCAUUGCCAUCACUUGUGAUCCAAUAAGAUAUUUUUGUUAAUUGAUUGUAGGUGUAAAUCAUCUGACAUCAUAUAUUGCUAUUUAAUGAUAGCUUUUCGAUUUUACUUAAAAGUAUAACACCUGAGGCUUUUUUAUGAUGAUUGCAUUUGGUUUGAAUUUCUUUCCUUUCAAGUUGACAGCAACAUGGGCUCUGAAUAAUUUAUUUAGGGAUUGUGCAGGUAGUACAGGGCCUUCAGAUUGCUAUCAAUUGUGUCGAGGACAUGGAUGAAUUGUUAGGCAUUUUCAAUGUAAAUCUUCAACAUAUGAGAGAGGACAUAAAAUCGGUAUGCAUAUACUACACUGUUAUCUCAAUUGAAAAGGUAUAGCCCUUGUUUGAGCCACAUUAUUUUAGAAAAAUGCAUUUUUUGAAUAGUGUAUUGAUGAGAAAUGUGUACUUAAAAAAUAGGAAAAGUUUUGGAUUUAUAUGUAAUAUUAUUUUAUUGAAGA